CUAAUGUGUGCCCCUGCAUACAGUUAUAUCAAAGCGGUCAGUGGACUAAACACACAUUCCUCGCUUCUGUGUGUUUCGUAUCCAUAUUGAUACAGAGAUAUUGAUAUAUAAAUAGGUCAUACUGUAGUCGGGCACCCUGUCGAGGAGGCAGAUCUGAUCUGUGCAUGUUGUAAAUUUUAUAGCAGAAGGAAGCACAAGAAAAAGAAGAGGCAUAUUUUCAGGACCAGGUAUGUUUUAAAUGGUUAUGAAUAUUAGGAUGCAGGAUUUCAAAGAAUUUGACAACAGAAAAUAAUUUAUAUACAUAAUAAUUGCUUCGGCACCCUGUGACCCUAUUAAAAUUUGCCCUUUUGUUUCCGACUUUUUUCCAAUCUCAUUCCCAGAGCAUGCCCGUUCGCAGGUUAAGGGUGGGCAUAGCUCUGGAGAAAUAGAAUUGAUCCACGUUGGAUUUCCAAAGUGAGUUCUACGCAUGCUCAGCAAUUGUUGCAAAAUAUAAGCAAAGUAUAUUUAGAAUUUCUCGUCGAAAAUUUGAUACUUUUUACACUGUUAAAAUCAAUUGAAAACAACUAAAAAUUUUGUUGUAAUUUAAACCUUUCGUCCAGUUUUAAAGGCAUCAACUGCAGGACGGUCCACACUUCACACCAAACAUUCUCUCAUUCUUAAGGAGAUUAUAUUUAUCAGUAAAGGUCAAGUACGAUGUAUACAAACACUUACAGUACAAGUCAAAAUGCCUUUGCUUGAAAUGUUGAAGUUCUUCUUGUAUUUUUGAGGUAUUUGAAUUGCUAUCAAUCUGAAGCUUUCGUACAUAUUUACCCAAGAAUUUUUAGUGUUUUCAAUUGAUUUCAGUGUAAAAAGUAUUUGUUUAUAUUUUUGUAACAAUUGUCGAGCAUGCGUAGAACUCGUGUUGGAAAUCCAAUGUUUAUCUGCUGCUAGCCAAUCACUGGCUUGAAUCAAUUCGAUUUCUCCAAUUGAAAGCUAAUGCCCACCCUCAACCUGCGAUUACUAUUAACGAACCCCCAUAAAACAAGGACCAACGUCUAAGCUAGUCUCUGGGUUUUCAUGUUGAUAAUCAUGGGCUGCUGAUUUAUUAAUUAAAUUACACCAAUAAUUGUCAAUAUACUGCAACAGCCUAUAUACUCAUCUUAUAGCGUGAUAAUGACGAAUUGGUUAGGACAACCAAAAAUCAAUCACAAAUGAAAGAGAUGAAACCAAAAAUGGAGGGAAAUAUCCAAAAACUGGAAAGACCAAUCAACAGCUCACACAGAGCAGAAAAAAACACCAAUGAAUAUCAUCCACAUGAAGUAAGUUAUUCCCAUGAGAGUAAAGAGAAAUGUGCAA